GGUGCAAUCUGGGAGGGCUGCGGGGGGAAGACGGAGGGUGCAAUGGUGACGCUGAAUUACGGGGGGUAAAGCGUGCUUGGGUGGUUGUUUAAGUCUGUCGUGAAAGCCCUGGGCUCAACCUGGGAACUGCGAUGGAAACUGGGCGACUAGAGUGUGGUAGAGGGUAGCGGAAUUCCUGGUGUAGCAGUGAAAUGCGUAGAUAUCAGGAGGAACAUCCAUGGCGAAGGCAGCUACCUGGGCCAACACUGACACUGAGGCACGAAAGCGUGGGGAGCAAACAGGAUUAGAUACCCCUGUAGC
rnacentral:rRNA from 1 species